ACGCGAAAGUCCCGCAAGGGAUCGGUAGAGUGGCAAACGGGUGAGUAACACGUGGGUGACCUGCCUUCGAGUGGGGGAUAACGUCCCGAAAGGGACGCUAAUACCGCAUGACAUCCUGCCUUUGAAGAGGUGGAGAUCAAAGCUGGGGAUCGCAAGACCUAGCGCUUGAAGAGGGGCCCGCGUCUGAUUAGCUAGUUGGUGAGGUAACGGCUCACCAAGGCUACGAUCAGUAUCCGGCCUGAGAGGGCGGACGGACACACUGGGACUGAGACACGGCCCAGACUCCUACGGGAGGCAGCAGUGGGGAAUUGUUCGCAAUGGGCGCAAGCCUGACGACGCAACGCCGCGUGGAGGAUGAAGACCUUCGGGUCGUAAACUCCUUUCGAUCGAGACGAACGGCUUCCGGGCGAAUAUCCCGGGAGAUUGACGGUACCGAGAGAAGAAGCCCCGGCUAACUCCGUGCCAGCAGCCGCGGUAAUACGGGGGGGGCAAGCGUUGUUCGGAAUUACUGGGCGUAAAGGGCUCGUAGGCGGCCAACUAAGUCAGACGUGAAAUCCCUCGGCUUAACCGGGGAACUGCGUCUGAUACUGGAUGGCUUGAGGUUGGGAGAGGGAUGCGGAAUUCCAGGUGUAGCGGUGAAAUGCGUAGAUAUCUGGAGGAACACCGGUGGCGAAGGCGGCAUCCUGGACCAAAUCUGACGCUGAGGAGCGAAAGCCAGGGGAGCAAACGGGAUUAGAUACCC
rnacentral:rRNA from 1 species